GAAUUAUGGUUAGCUUAUUAUGACAUCGUCUACCAUCAUCAAUUUACACAGAAAGCAAGCUAGCAUGCAGCGACAAUCAUACCGAGCAUUCAAAGCAAAUACCUUGACUCCACAGACCCCAUAAAAGCACGACAACCAACUAAAGGACAGCAUUAAAAGGGAUAGGUAUGUUAAGUCAGGCACCUUGGAGCCAUCUCAACUCAAACCAGGUGGAUUCAUCCUGAAGAGCAGCAAGACCUGAAAACUUCUACAGGACCAAACAGAUUUUACAACAAUCAAGUUCACCACUUUGUUCAAGAUCAAGUUUCUUGAUCUUCCAGGAUCAAGAGACUCAACCACUACCUGUCCUUAUCAAAAACUAAAGUGCUUUUAUUUCCUUCCUUAUAUUUAUUCACACCUGCAAGGACCCCCCUUUAUCUCAUUCCCACACCUUUAAGAAACAAACAAAUCCAAACCCCUAUGAGUUAGACUUCUCUUUUCUAUAUUCCCUUGGUAUACAUUUUAUAGCCACUCAACAAAAUCCUGCCAUGUUUUUGGGUAAACAUGGUUAAAGUAAGGGGACUGUACUCAAGGAUGAAAUGGACCAAGAGUGUGAAGGAUUUUGGACCAAGUUCGUGAAGGAGGAUAUAGCUCAAAGGGUUUGGGAAUUUAUCUCAUUUUUCAAAAAUAAAGAUGACAUUGAUAAUUA